rfam:Picea glauca, whole genome shotgun sequence.
CCAUAGGAUUUUUUAGAAUCCACAACAGUCUCAAGGAAAUAUUUU